AGGCGACGACGGGUAGCCGGCCUGAGAGGGUGACCGGCCACACUGGGACUGAGACACGGCCCAGACUCCUACGGGAGGCAGCAGUGGGGAAUAUUGCGCAAUGGGCGCAAGCCUGACCCAGCGACGCCGCGUGAGGGAUGACGGCCUUCGGGUUGUAAACCUCUUUCAGCAGGGACGAAGCCAAAGUGACGGUACCUCCAGAAGA
rnacentral:rRNA from 1 species